GACGAACGCUGGCGGCGCGCUUAACACAUGCAAGUCGAGCGAUGAAAUUUUGACAGAUCCCUUCGGGGUGAAGACAAAAUGGAUUAGCGGCGGACGGGUGAGUAACACGUGAGUAACCUGCCUUAGACAUUGGGAUAGCCUCGGGAAACCGGGAUUAAUACCAAAUAAAAUCAUAGGUGCACAUGCACUAAUGAUCAAAACUCCGGUGGUCUAAGAUGGACUCGCGUCCCAUUAGCUAGUUGGUAGGUAACGGCCUACCAAGGCGACGAUGGGUAGCCGGCCUGAGAGGGUGAACGGCCACAUUGGAACUGAGAAACGGUCCAAACUCCUACGGGGGCAGCAGUGGGGAAUAUUGCACAAUGGAGGGAACUCUGAUGCAGCGACGCCGCGUGAACGAAGAAGGCUUU
rnacentral:rRNA from 1 species